rnacentral:rRNA from 1 species
UACGUAGGGUGCAAGCGUUAAUCGGAAUUACUGGGCGUAAAGCGUGCGCAGGCGGCUUUGCAAGCCAGAUGUGAAAUCCCCGGGCUCAACCUGGGAACUGCAUUUGUGACUGCAUCGCUGGAGUGCGGCAGAGGGGGAUGGAAUUCCGCGUGUAGCAGUGAAAUGCGUAGAUAUGCGGAGGGACACCGAUGGCGAAGGCAAUCCCCUGGGCCUGCACUGACGCUCAUGCACGAAAGCGUGGGGAGCAAACAGG